rnacentral:rRNA from 1 species
AGAGUUUGAUCCUGGCUCAGGAUGAACGCUAGCUACAGGCUUAACACAUGCAAGUCGAGGGGCAUCAGUUUGGUUUGCUUGCAAACCAAAGCUGGCGACCGGCGCACGGGUGAGUAACACGUAUCCAACCUGCCUCAUACUCGGGGAUAGCCUUUCGAAAGAAAGAUUAAUAUCCGAUAGCAUAUAUUUCCCGCAUGGGUUUUAUAUUAAAGAAAUUCGGUAUGAGAUGGGGAUGCGUUCCAUUAGUUAGUAGGCGGGGUAAUGGCCCACCUAGCCGACGAUGGAUAGGGGUUCUGAGAGGAAGGUCCCCCACAUUGGAACUGAGACACGGUCCAAACUCCUACGGGAGCA